CUCCAACUUUUUUUCGCCCAUUUAAAUUAAAGAAGCAACUACAGGGCAGUGCAGCAGCCACUUAGGAUUUACCUUCGCAGCCCACACUCGCAAACAUUUAUGGCCGCACCGGAGGCAAACAACAAAGGCAUUUUAAUUAAAUUAAAUUCGUGCGAAAACAAUUUGAAGAAGAAAUAUAUUUAUAUUUUACGAGCGUGCCCUGCGAAAAACGGGGCAAAUAAAAAGUCCGAGCAGCAGGAACGUGUUGCGACCAGCAAAUUGAGCAGAAGACCAGACCGGUCUCCAGUUUCAAGGGUAAUACAAGACGAUAAUUGGAAUCGGAAAAGCAAAGUGCAGUGGACAGCGAGGUGUAUAAUCAUCACUCAAAUUAUGCCUACAGCUCGUACAUAUUUAUAGCAUUGCAAAUUUAAAUGAUAAAUGCUUACACGAAAUGUAACAUACAAAUAAAGGAAUUAAAUAAAAUUUAAA
rnacentral:sRNA from 1 species